UUGUAAUCCGAAAAGUGCUCCUAGCUACUCCCUAUAUUUAUUAUAUAAACACUUUUCCAAUAUUCAUUGUCUCACCCUCAGCUCUCUGGUAACAAUUUCCUUUGGUGUUUUUUUUUGUUCCCUCACCACACUACCUCUCUUUCCCUUUUUUUUACAAAUCAACAUUCAAAAAUGGGAGGUUGUGUGAGCAGUCCUAAGGAUCUUAAGAACGAAGGGGAAGCCCCAGUUGAGGCUCCCAUCACACCAAAGAAUGCUGAGGGAGAGACUGUUGCUCAGGUUCUUUCAAUUCUCUUUUCUCUCAUUUUUCAUUUCACCACACAAAUGGGUUUAGAAUAUAACAUGACAUUCAUUACACACCUUGAAAUCAUCCUAUUUGCUUUUGUUUGGUGUACUUCACUACAGUUAUGAUAAAAAUAACUCAUACAUAUAUAUAUAUAUAUAUAUAUAUAUAUAUGGAAAAACAAUUCUUACAUUCGAAUAUCAACUCUUGCGAAAAGAAAAAACACUUUGGCCAGCCCCUACCGCUUAAUGCGCUGACCGUGGGGUGAGGGAUUAGUUUCACGGCUGUCGGCCGUAGGAAUACCUUGGUCAAGACAAAAAAAAAAAACUAUCUUUUGAAAUAAAGUUAAUCUUAACUUCAAAUCUACGACUUUCAUAUUUUAAAACAAAGGAAUGGACCCACAAAAAGUGUUUGGAUCCUCUACUGCCCCCUCACACCUCUGGAGCACCCGUUAUAUAUUUAAAUUGAUUCAUGAUUGAAUCAAUUAUGCAAUCACUUUUUCAUUAGUGAUCCUAGGACGUGUUUGGAAAACUGUUAGGUUUGAUGUAAAAGUGUGAAAAAUCACUUCAAUUUCAAUCCAACCAAUUUUUCCUUUAGUUUUUCACGCUUUGAUAUUAGUGAAAUAGGUGAAAAGCACUUUGACACCUCUAAGAAACACUUAGAGUAUGUUUAUAUUAAAAUCCAACUACAUUCAACUUCAACCCUUCAAAAAAUUGGUUUUCGCCUUUUGUGCUUGCGAGUUGCGAAAAUAGAAUCUCACUUUUGAACACAAAAUGAAUGUGCUUUCAAUCUAAACAAAACAUGUUCUUAAUUAGUCAUAGUCAUUGGGUACAAAAGUUAAUGAAUUAGAUUGUUGGAGAUUAAACAGUAGACAAAACGGUAUGAAAGAAUCCAAAUCGGAGUAAAGAGUCAAAAUCAUUAAGAAAAUGAUAUUCAAAUCCUUAUCAUUUUCUUCUGGUUCAAUCACUGCCCCAAUAGUAAUAACAAUUCACGUAUAAUUAAUUUUUCUUUGCUAACUCUCUUUUUCUAUCAUAUCACAUCAUAUAAUUUAGGUGUAAACAUUUCAAUUAGGUGUCUAUAAAAUAUUUUCCUUCCAUUUUUAUAAUGAUAAUUAGUUGGUUGGUUUAUUAUAUGCAGGAGAACACCCAAGAAGGAGGUGAGAAGAAGGAGGAGCCUUUGGUAGACAUCACUGAGCCUAAAGAGGAGAAUGUGGAAGACAAGCCACAAGAGGCUGAGGUUGCUACUGAGGCCCAAGAGGUGGAAGCCCAGGCUGAGCAACCAAAAGCAGAGGAGAACAAUGAUGCACCUCUUGUAGCUCUGUGAAUGUGAUCACAUAUUAAUUCAGUGUCCAUCCUAAUAAACCUGAGGCAAAUUGAAUUCAUAUGAUGUGUGCUACGGAGCUGUAACAUAUGGCCGAUUUUAUUGUCUAAAUCACAUCAUAAUUUUUAAUUCUUUCCCUUCUUGGAGCUUCAUUUGAGAAAUAGAAUCAUAUUUUAAUAUUUUAUUAUAUCUUACCAAUUAGCAAAUAUAUAUGUGAGCUUUUAUUGUGAUUGUUUGAUUCUUUGCUUAAUUGCUUUUUACGUUUUAGAGUUGGGUGAAUGUAAAAAACUAAAAACACC
rnacentral:lncRNA from 1 species